GAUGAACGCUGGCGGCGUGCUUAACACAUGCAAGUCGAACGAAAAGACGAGGAUCUUGCUGGUCUCACGUUAGGGGCGGGCGGGUGAGAAACACGUGGAUACCCCACCUAUAAGAAUGGGACAACUACGGGAAACCGGAUACAACACAGGACAAGAUAUUGAACCCGGGGGGUCUUUAGAGAAAGACGGCUUUGCGGGAACGAAUAGAGGGUUCCGAGCUGGUUGGGUUAGUUGGUAGGUUAACGGCUUUCCAUGGCGACGAUGCGUGGCCGACCUGAGAGGGUGAUCGGCCACACUGGAACUGAGACACGGUCCAGAGUCCUACGGGAGGCAGCAGUGGGGAAUCUUCGGCAAUGGGCGAAAGCCUGACACAGCAACGCCGCGUGUGUGAUGAAGGCCUUCGGAUCGUAAAGCACUUUUAUGGGGUAAGAACAGCUUUGUACGAAAAUCAAGACGUCUUGACGGUACCUGAUCAAAAAGCAACGGCUAACUACGUG
rnacentral:rRNA from 1 species